CUGGAGGGCCCCUUUCCCCCGGUGACCCCUUUUCGCCAGUCGGACCUUCGGGACCUUUCUCUGGUGGACAGCACUCACAAACAUUGAAGAAGCAUUCAUUGUAGUCAAAUGUAUAAUUUCCAGGGGCAUUUCCAGGGGGGAGGAUUGCAUCAGUGAGGUACUCAGUUGGGCUGCUGGAGGGAGAUGGGUUUUUUGUAGCAAUCUGUCCAGACCUUAAUCCCCCACCGAAACCACUGGUCCCAGUUUGAGGAGGCUUGUUGGUGUUCUGAGGUUUGGGCCAGUGUGUGGUCCUGCCACCAGACGUGAGCGUAAUAAUGAAGGCCAUAAAGACGGUGGUCACCAGGAUGAGAUCAGCGGAUGGCAUGCUGAAUGAUCAGGUGGAAGUUAGAAGAUGGAUUACUGGUUGUUUAUUUCAAAGAUUCGCAAAACAAAAAUGGCUGUUUUCAGAAGAGCAGCAUCGUUUUCGAAAGCCAGUCAAAAAGUCAUUUCUGUUGACGAUAUAGGUAGAGGUGGAGUUGAAUCUUCUCGUUCAAAUGAAAAACAACAUUCAAAAUUUCAAAAUGUGCUUUGAAUAGCUGCAUCCCAUGCAGUUUAUUUUGACUCAUUUUGACAACAUGUGUAAAGGUUCCAGAGGUUCCAAUUUUCCUUAUUGUUCCAAACCAUUACUCUUGGCAUAAAUGGACAAUGCAAUGCAAAAAUUCACAUCUUGUCAUAUUGAGCUAAUGAUGUCAAAGUACUGCAGUAUGAUGUAGCAGGUUAGUCAAACACAAAAUAGGACAAAAUUGUGAAGUGGAAGAAUAAUGAUAGAGGGAUUUUCCUAUUUUGAUUUUUGUAAAUUAAUCUCUGGUCUGUAUUGUGUUCUUGUGUGUGCCUCUGAACUGAUCCUAAGUCUGGACUUUAACUGGACUAUCAUAACACAGCAAUCUGAUUUGAUCUAAGCCAUUCAUUGUAGCCUGCUGUAGGGUUUUUGUCUUGGUAGAAAGCUAACAAACAACCAAGACUCGAAGCUGUGGCAGCUUCUCUCAAGUUUUCUACAGUAAAGUACCUGUGUUUAUUUCCAUCCAACUUUCAAUAAACUCUUACCAGUUUACCUUUCCCUGCUAAAGAAACAUAACGCUGCCACCACCAUGUGGUAAGCACCUUUUUCUCCACAUAUUUUUUAUGUCCCCUGCACUCAUGAAAUUUGAAUAGAGUAUUGUUUUUCUUUUGAAGCAAAACCACAAAGAUUUCAGGUGACUUUCAGCAUGCAGAUCUUAAAAACUUGAAAAAAAUUUAGAAAGCAUGUGAUAAAAUCCCAAAGACCAGCAACCACUGUCAAAUUCCAAGGUCACUCCAAUGAACACGGACAUUAGAAACCAUCAUGCAAUUUUAACUUCCGUUCUCCUUCCAGGUUACAGACGCACUUUGGCAAAAGCCUGCCAGUCAACACAGUGCUGUUGUUUCUUAAAUUGUAUUGUGGAACUGAAAUAAAAAAGACGGGAGUCCUAUAUUGAACAGAAACUCUGAAAUUCUCUGUGCAGCAGUCAUUUCAGUUCAAAGUAAAAAAGCAGUCUGCUUUUAAUGAAAUGGGGAAUGGUUGAGGCGUUUGUCAGUAACAGAUACAACAGCAAGAGUUUGUGAUAGAAUGUGGGUGCAUUGAUGUCUCUAACCUGGAAGAUUCCCUUUGCAGGAAACACUACUGAUACAUUAAAAUUUCACAAGUAAUAUUC